rnacentral:rRNA from 1 species
GCCAUGCCGCGUGCAGGAUGACGGUCCUAUGGAUUGUAAACUGCUUUUGUACGGGAAGAAACACUCCGACGUGUCGGAGCUUGACGGUACCGUAAGAAUAAGGAUCGGCUAACUCCGUGCCAGCAGCCGCGGUAAUACGGAGGAUCCAAGCGUUAUCCGGAAUCAUUGGGUUUAAAGGGUCCGUAGGCGGUCUGGUAAGUCAGUGGUGAAAGCCCAUCGCUCAACGGUGGAACGGCCAUUGAUACUGCUGGACUUGAAUUACUGGGAAGCAACUAGAAUAUGUAGUGUAGCGGUGAAAUGCUUAGAGAUUACAUGGAAUACCAAUUGCGAAGGCAGGUUGCUACCAGUGGAUUGACGCUGAUGGACGAAAGCGUGGGUAGCGAACAGGAUUAGAUACCCUGGUAGUCCACGCCGUAGACGAUGGAUACUAGCUGUUGGGAGCAAUCUCAGUGGCUAAGCGAAAGUGAUAAGUAUCCCACCUGGGGAGUACGUUCGCAAGAAUGAAACUCAAAGGAAUUGACGGGGGCCCGCACAAGCGGUGGAGCAUGUGGUUUAAUUCGAUGAUACGCGAGGAACCUUACCAAGGCUUAAAUGCAGACUGACCGAUUUGGAAACAGAUCUUUCGCAAGA